GAUGAACGCUGGCGGCGUGCCUAACACAUGCAAGUCGAGCGGCAGCGCGGGGUGCUUGCACCCUGUCGGCGAGCGGCGGACGGCUGAGUAGCGCGUGGGAACGUGCCCCAAAGUGAGGAAUAACUGCCCGAAAGGGUAGCUAAUACCGCAUAUUAUCUUCGGAUCAAAGGAUUUAUCCGCUUUGGGAGCGGCUCGCGUCGGAUUAGGUAGUUGGUGAGGUAAUGGCUCACCAAGCCGACGAUCCGUAGCUGGUCUGAGAGGAUGACCAGCCAGACUGGAACUGAGACACGGUCCAGACUGCUACGGGAGGCAGCAGUGAGGAAUCUUACACAAGGGGCGAAAGCCUGAUGGAGCAACGCCGCGUGCAGGACGAAGGCCUUCGGGUUGUAAACUGCUUUUAUAAGUGAGGAAUAUGACGGUAACUUAUGAAUAAGGAUCGGCUAACUACGUG
rnacentral:rRNA from 1 species